UAGCGAUGGAGAGAAGGAGGAGUGACAAUUCCGCGCCCUGACGAAAUAGGGCGUUAAAAGAUGUAGGUAUAUUUUCUAUAGGCAAAUCCGUAGAGAAUGCUGAAGUCCAACAGUACCAGGAGGCUCCGGCCGAAUGGAUAGAGAAUGUAAGCAGACUUCCGAGAAAAUCUUCUAAGCAUAUUGAUACGGUACCCGUACCGCAAACCGACACAGGUAGUCAAGGAGAGAAUCCUGAGGUGCUCGAGUGAGUCAUGGCUAAGGAACUAGGCAAAUUAAACCUGUAACUUCGGGAAAAGGGUUGCCUCUCUUUAGCAAUAAAGAAGGUCGCAGAGAAAUGGCCCAGGCGACUGUUUAACAAAAACACAUGGCUAUGCGAAAUCGUAAGAUGAAGUAUAUGGCCUGACACCUGCCCGGUGCUGGAAGGUUAAGGGGGGAAGUUAGUCGCAGGGCGAAGCUUUGAACUGAAGCCCCAGUAAACGGCGGCCGUAACUAUAACGGUCCUAAGGUAGCGAAAUUCCUUGUCGGGUAAGUUCCGACCUGCACGAAUGGUGUGACGAUCUGGGCACUGUCUCAGCCAUGAGCUCGGUGAAAUUGUAGUCACGGUGAAGAUGCCGUGUACCCGUCACGGGACGGAAAGACCCCAUGCACCUUUACUAUAGCUUCGCAUUGACAUUGGGUAGAUGAUGUGUAGGGUAGGUGGGAGGCUUUGAUCCUGUGCCGCUAGGUAUAGGGGAGCCAACGGUGAAAUACCACCCUUUAUUUAUCUGAUGUCUAAUCCGCAAGACCUGCGGAGACAGUGCGUGGUGGGUAGUUUGACUGGGGUGGUCGCCUCCGAAAGUGUAUCGGAGGCUUUCAAAGGUAUGCUCAAUACGCUUGGUAACCGUAUGUGGAGUGCAAUAGCAUAAGCAUGCUUGACUGUGAGACUGACAAGUCGAGCAGGGUCGAAAGACGGAUAUAGUGAUCCGGUGGUUCUGUAUGGAAGGGCCAUCGCUCAAAGGAUAAAAGGUACGCUGGAUAACAGGCUGAUCUCCCCCAAGAGCUCACAUCGACGGGGAGGUUUGGCACCUCGAUGUCGGCUCGUCACAUCCUGGGGCUGGAGAAGGUCCCAAGGGUUAGGCUGUUCGCCUAUCAAAGUGGCACGCGAGCUGGGUUCAGAACGUCGUGAGACAGUUCGGUCCCUAUCUGUGAUGGGCGUAGGAAGUUUGAGAGGAUCUGACCUUAGUACGAGAGGACCGGGUUGGACCAACCGCUGGUGUACCGGUUGUGGCGUCAGCUGCAUCGCCGGGUAGCUACGUUGGGACGAGAUAAGCGCUGAAAGCAUCUAAGCGCGAAACUCACCUCAAGAUGAGACUUCCAUUAAGGGACGUCAGAGACUAUGACGUUGAUAGGCUGCAGGUGUAAAGGCAGAAAUGUCAAAGCUGAGCAGUACUAAUUACCC
rnacentral:rRNA from 1 species